AAUUUACUCCCUCCGUCCCAAAGUACUGGUCACAGAAAUGGAUGUAUCUAGAACUAAAAUACAUCUAGAUACAUCCAUACCUGUGACAAGUAAUUCGGGACGGAGGGAGUUUUUC
rfam:Triticum aestivum genome assembly, contig: Triticum_aestivum_CS42_TGACv1_scaffold_210525_3AS